AUACGUAGGGGGCAAGCGUUAUCCGGAUUUACUGGGUGUAAAGGGAGCGUAGACGGUGUGACAAGUCUGAUGUGAAAACCCGGGGCUCAACUCCGGGAUUGCAUUGGGCACUGCCAUACUUGAGUGCAGGAGAGGUAAGCGGAAUUCCUAGUGUAGCGGUGAAAUGCGUAGAUAUUAGGAGGAACACCGGCGGCGAAGGCGGCUUACUGGACUGUAACUGACGUUGAGGCUCGAAAGCGUGGGGAGCAAACAGGAUUAGAUACCCUGGUAGUCCACGCGGUAAACGAUGAAUACUAGGUGUUGGGGGUCUAUAGACCCUCGGUGCCGCAGCAAACGCAAUAAGUAUUCCACCUGGGGAGUACGUUCGCAAGAAUGAAACUCAAAGGAAUUGGCGGGG
rnacentral:rRNA from 1 species